rnacentral:rRNA from 1 species
CAAGAGCGUAUGUAAAAGUUGUUGCAGUUAAAAAGCUCGUAGUUGAACCUUGGGUUUGGUUGGCCGGUCCGCUUUUUUGCGAGUACUGGAUUCAACCGAGCCUUUCCUUCUGGCUAACCAGUCGUUUCGGCGGCUGGCGAACCAGGAUUUUUACUUUGAGAAAAUUAGAGUGUUCAAAGCGGGCAUUAGCUUGAAUAUAUUAGCAUGGAAUAAUAGAAUAAGACGUUAUGGUUCUAUUUUGUUGGUUUCUAGGACCAUCGUAAUGAUUAAUAGGGACGGUCGGGGGCAUCAGUAUUCAGUUGUCAGAGGUGAAAUUCUUGGAUUUACUGAAGACUAACUACUGCGAAAGCAUUUGCCAAGGACGUUUUCAUUAA